rnacentral:rRNA from 1 species
GACGAACGCUGGCGGCGUGCCUAAUACAUGCAAGUCGAGCGAAGCGGCGGGUGGGUUAGUUACGCGUGGGUAACCUCCCCUUAAGUCUGGCAUACCAAUUGGAAACAGAUGCUGAUACCGGAUACUAAAGGAUGGAUCUGCGAUGCAUUAGCUAGUUGGUAAGGUAACGGCUUACCAAGGCGAUGAUGCAUAGCCGAGUUGAGAGACUGAUCGGCCACAUUGGGACUGAGACACGGCCCAAACUCCUACGGGAGGCAGCAGUAGGGAAUCUUCCACAAUGGACGAAAGUCUGAUGGAGCAACGCCGCGUGAGUGAAGAAGGUUUUCGGAUCGUAAAGCUCUGUUGUUGGUGAAGCGGUAAUCAACCAGAAAGUCACGGCUAACUACGUGCCAGCCGCCGCGGUAAUUC